rnacentral:rRNA from 1 species
AGCGAACGCUGGCGGCAGGCCUAACACAUGCAAGUCGAACGGAUCCUUCGGGAUUAGUGGCGGACGGGUGUGUAACACGUGGGAACGUGCCCUUUGGUUCGGCACAACUCAGGGAAACUUGAGCUAAUACCGGAUGUGCCCUUCGGGGGAAAGAUUUAUCGCCAUUGGAGCGGCCCGCGUCUGAUUCGCUAGUUGGUGAGGUAACGGCCCACCAAGGCGACGAUCAGUAGCUGGUCUGAGAGGAUGAUCAGCCACACUGGGACUGAGACACGGCCCAGACUCCUACGGGAGGCAGCAGUGGGGAAUCUUGCGCAAUGGGCGAAAGGCUGACGCAGCCAUGCCGCGUGAAUGAUGAAGGUCUUAGGAUUGUAAAAUUCUUUCAGCGGGGACGAUAAUGACGGUACCCGCAGAAGAAGCUCCGGCUAACUUCGUG